CACCUGGUUGAUCCUGCCAGUAGUCAUAUGCUUGUCUCAAAGAUUAAGCCAUGCAUGUCUAAGUAUAAGCUUUAAACGGCGAAACUGCGAAUGGCUCAUUAAAACAGUUAUAGUUUAUUUGGUGAUCGAUUACUAUUUGGAUAACCGUAGUAAUUCUAGAGCUAAUACAUGCGUCAAG
rnacentral:ncRNA from 1 species